rnacentral:rRNA from 1 species
CCUACGGGAGGCAGCAGUGGGGAAUAUUGGACAAUGGGGGGAACCCUGAUCCAGCGACGCCGCGUGAGUGAAGAAGUAUUUCGGUAUGUAAAGCUCUAUCAGCAGGGAAGAAAAUGACAGUACCUGACCAAGACGCCCCGGCUAACUACGUGUCAGCAGCCGCGGUAAUACGGAGGGGGCAAGCGUUAUCCGGAUUUACUGGGGGUAAGGGGAGCGUAGACGGUUAUGUAAGUCUGGAGUGAAAGCCCGGGGCCCAACCCCGGGACUGCUUUGGAAACUGUGUAACUGGAGUGCAGAAGGGGCAGGCGGAAUUCCUGGUGUAGCGGUGAAAUGCGUAGAUAUCAGGAGGAACACCGACGGCGAAGGCGGCCUGCUGGACUGCAACUGACGUUGAGGCUCGAAAGCGUGGGGAGCAAACAGGAUUAGAUACCCUUGUAGUC